CCUUAUUUUAGAAUUAAUUAAACAAAGAAAAAAAAGAAAAAAAAAAUAAGAUACGCCUCUCUCUCUCUCUCUCUCACGCGAAGCGACGGUGGCGACAGCUCUCCGAUUUCGAUCGCCAUCAUCUUCAAUCUCGUCGAAUCUGCCGCCUCGAACAUCAGGAGGUGAAUGGCUCUGCUGCGAAAGAUGGUAGAGCUCUGCCACAAGGGGGAUUCACUUGUUGUUUAGCCAUGGAUGGUCUUAAGGUUCUUGCUUCUGGGUUUCAGAUCGAUGAAAAGGUACUUCACUUCGUCUUCUCUUUGUUAGUAUAAUAGAUAUCGUUUGUAGUUUAUUAGGAUCCGUUAUUCCCCUUUUGUAUAGUGUCCAUGGGAAUGGUUGUGAGUUUUGACUCUAUGUUGCCUCAGCGAUCUUAGGUAACCUUCUGUUCUUUCUAUGGAACUAUCUUUUCACACUUUGAAUGGCAACUAAGAAGCAUGGAUAUUAUUACUAAAGUUCAUAUCUUUUUAGAGAAAUAUUUUCUAGUUACUGGCAAGGACUCAUCCCCCUUCUAACUGGUUGGUUGCAAUUAUAUUUUCAAGGUCAAAAUUGAGAAGCUAGUUACUUCCAUGGAGGGAGUUUUGGUUUCCAGAACUUCUUCAGAUGUCAACUUCGUCAUUGUCAAGAACGUCCUAGCUGCUAAGUACAAGGUCUGUUGCUCAAAGAUUGCCAAUCAAUAUUCUUUUUAGCUUCUAAAUGUUCACUUCACACAUCUGUAGAUUAUCAUCGUUGGCUCCCGAUUUAUUUUUAUUUUUGCUUUAUGAACAUUCCAACACUGCUGUUUUUCUUCAUGCAUCUCAAAAGAUUAAUCAGUUAUGUUAGUACAUAGGUGAUUUCCUUAGAACGGAGGCUUUCGAGCGGGAGGAAAGAUUUACUAUGCAGUAUGCACCUCUAGUGAAACAUCUCUCCUUUUCCCAGAAAUUGUUUUGGAUCAGUCUUUUGCCUCUGAUGACUAAUGUGGGCCCUGUAUGUUCAGAAGAAGCCAGUUGUUGCACUGAGUUGGUUACAUCAGUGUUGGAAUGAGCAUAGCAUCGUGUGAUGACAGCUUUUAAGAACUCCACAAAUUCACCGAGUCAGUGAUGACAGCUUUUAAAAACUGAAGUGAAAAACACCUGGGGGAGGGGGACGAGGAUAAGCAAGAAUAGUGAUCAGUGAAAGAGGUUUCUGUGGGGUGGGGGAGUUCGUUCAAACAAAGCUCACAAGUUGUAGAAUGUUGUUUCUAAUUUGAGGAUCAUGCAGCUUUUUUUUUUGUUUUUUACUUUCCGGGAAGAACAAUAAGUUAUAUUUCAGAUUUUACUCCUAUGUUAAGUUGGUACUCAUGAAAUCUGGAGAACAUAGUUGCUACCAAGCAUACCAAAGAUCAAUUUAAGAUUUUUAGGAAA